GCACAAGCAGCGGAGCAUGUGGUUUAAUUCGAAGCAACGCGAAGAACCUUACCAGGGCUUGACAUCCCCUGACGAAUGCUGAAAGGCAUUUUCCCUUUUAGGGCAGGGAGACAGGUGGUGCAUGGUUGUCGUCAGCUCGUGUCGUGAGAUGUUGGGUUAAGUCCCGCAACGAGCGCAACCCCUAUAGUUAGUUGCCAGCAUGUAGAGAUGGGAACUCUAACUAGACUGCCGGGGAUAACUCGGAGGAAGGUGGGGACGACGUCAAAUCAUCAUGCCCCUUAUGUUCUGGGCUACACACGUGCUACAAUGGCCGGUACAGAGGGCAGCGAAGGAGCAAUCCGGAGCGAAUCUUUAGAAAGCCGGUCUCAGUUCGGAUUGUGGGCUGCAACCCGCCCACAUGAAGCCGGAGUUGCUAGUAAUCGCGAAUCAGCAUGUCGCGGUGAAUGCGUUCCCGGGCCUUGUACACACCGCCCGUCACACCAUGGGAGUUGGGAGCGCCCGAAGCCGAUGGCCUAACAGCAAUGGAGGAGUCGUCGAAGGCGAGAUCAAUGACUGGGGUG
rnacentral:rRNA from 1 species